rnacentral:piRNA from 1 species
AUAUUGUUACAUACUACUCAGGAAAAAAAG